rnacentral:tRNA from 1 species
AAGGGAGACCUAAUUCGGGUAUAAGACGAAAAAAGAGUAGUCGAAACCAAGAAUCAAUCCCAAAAGGUCGGAACGAGGUAUGUGGCUUUCAAACUAGGUUCUGGGUUCACACAAGACCUAAAUCAGGAACAAGGGCUAUUAGCUCAGGUGGUUAGAGCGCACCCCUGAUAAGGGUGAGGUCCCUGGUUCGAGUCCAGGAUGGCCCACCUGCACAGGUGGCAAAAACAAAGAAGCGAGGAAUCAGCACCUUAUCUUAUCUAUAUAUAAGAGAGAAUGCUGGCUCUGAGUAAAGAGUCCAGAGGAACCUCGAAAACUGCAUAGAGCUAGGUGAAAAAGCCAAAAAAGAAGACCGCAA